rnacentral:lncRNA from 1 species
UUAGACUGUCUAACUCUAUUUGGAGAUUUUCCUUUGCCUGCAUUUCAGCUGAAAGCGAAGCAUUUAACUGUUCAAAUGAAGUACUGCUCUGUUCUUUUAUCUUCCCAAUACAUGUGUUAAUGAAGGUGCCAAUGUCUGAGGAAAGCUGAGAGACAUCCUCCUCGUCAAUCACAAGUCCAGAGACAUCAAGUAACAUUUUGACCAUCUCAGUCUUCUCUGUAGACACUUGACUCUCUUUGUCAACAAUCUCUUUGUACUUCAAUGCUAGACUGUCCAACUCUAUUUGGAGAUUUUCCUUUGCCUGCAUUUCAGCUGAAAGCGAAGCAUUUAACUGUUCAAAUGAAGUACUGCUCUGUUCUUUUAUCUUCCCAAUACAUGUGUUAAUGAAGGAGCCAAUGUCUGAGGAAAGCUGAGCGACAUCCUCAUUGUCCAUCACAAUUCCAGAGACAUCAAGUAACAUUUUGACCAUGUCAGCAUUCUCUGAAGAUACUCGACGCUCCUUUUCAACUAUCUCUUUGUACUUUGAUGUUAGACUGU